rnacentral:tRNA from 1 species
GUCCAGGGUAGCCUAGUGGACAUGGCAUCUGCCCGGUAAGCGGAACACUGUGGGUUUGAUUCCCAUCCCUUAACA